rnacentral:rRNA from 1 species
AUUGAACGCUGGCGGCAGGCCUAACACAUGCAAGUCGAGCGGAUGAAGGGAGCUUGCUCUUGGAUUCAGCGGCGGACGGGUGAGUAAUGCCUAGGAAUCUGCCUGGUAGUGGGGGAUAACGUCCGGAAACGGGCGCUAAUACCGCAUACGUCCUGAGGGAGAAAGUGGGGGAUCUUCGGACCUCACGCUAUCAGAUGAGCCUAGGUCGGAUUAGCUAGUUGGUGGGGUAAAGGCCUACCAAGGCGACGAUCCGUAACUGGUCUGAGAGGAUGAUCAGUCACACUGGAACUGAGACACGGUCCAGACUCCUACGGGAGGCAGCAGUGGGGAAUAUUGGACAAUGGGCGAAAGCCUGAUCCAGCCAUGCCGCGUGUGUGAAGAAGGUCUUCGGAUUGUAAAGCACUUUAAGUUGGGAGGAGGGGCAGUAAGUGAAUACGUUGCUGUUUUGACGUUACCAACAGAAUAAGCACCGGCUAACUUCGUG